ACACACUUGUACAGGACCUCGGACGCCAAGCCCAGUGAGUGCCGUUGCCGUGGGAGCCCAGCGGACACCGCCCGCAUUGCCAGGAGCCGUCACUUGGCGAGGAGCACGCCACGCCGGGGAAGCACGGUCGCGACUGCAAACACGGACAUGUCCCAAAGCAAAGUAGGAUGACAUCCGAGCCCUGGUGCACUCCACUACUAUCUUCUAGAAGGUUCCCGGUGAUGAGACGCAUGUCAUGGAUCUCGGCGAACAUCUGCACCGCGUCUUCACACGAGUGACGACACACUGCUGAUGUCACGUUGGCGAGCCCUGCGCCGCACACACCUGCACAGGAGGAGAGAGUGUGUGUAUGGACCUACU